rnacentral:rRNA from 1 species
UGGCCUUGACAUGUUGGGAACUUUCCAGAGAUGGAUUGGUGCCUUCGGGAACCCAAACACAGGUGCUGCAUGGCCGUCGUCAGCUCGUGUCGUGAGAUGUUGGGUUAAGUCCCGUAACGAGCGCAACCCCUAUCCCUAGUUGCCAGCACAUGAUGGUGGGAACUCUAGGGAGACUGCCGGUGACAAACCGGAGGAAGGUGGGGAUGACGUCAGGUCAUCAUGGCCCUUACGGCCAGGGCUACACACGUGCUACAAUGGUGCGCACAGAGGGCUGCCAACCCGCGAGGGGGAGCUAAUCUCAUAAAACGCAUCGUAGUCCGGAUCGCAGUCUGCAACUCGACUGCGUGAAGUCGGAAUCGCUAGUAAUCGUGGAUCAGAAUGCCACGGUGAAUACGUUCCCGGGCC